rnacentral:sRNA from 1 species
UUUUCUCAUUUCAUACCAGUCAUCUUCUGUAGGAUCUUCAGUCUGAGAUAGCCUUUCUGUUGCUCUCUUCUUGUGGUCAAAAGUUCUCUUCAGCUUGCUAAGUUGAGAAGUAUAAU